CAUGCCCUACAUGGUCAAAAUCAGGGAAAAUUACAAUUCCCAGAAUGCCAAGGUAAAAUUUCCACCAAAUUACUGAUUGAAGGCACCUGAAAAGGAAGGAGGUUCAGUCACUCUUUCACCAAACUACCCCCAUGGAAAGAAGAACAGCAAGCAGCCACAACCGCAAGAUCCACUCAACAAGUUUCUCCAAACACACCAAUAGUUUACAACCUGCUGAUGAUUUUGAAAAUCAACUGAAAUUAUACCAACAAAGCUUUAAGUUGGAAAAAAUAAAAGUUGAUCAAUUGGAAA